rnacentral:rRNA from 1 species
UACAGAGGUCUCAAGCGUUGUUCGGAUUCAUUGGGCGUAAAGGGUGCGUAGGCGGCGCGGUAAGUCGGGUGUGAAAUCUCGGGGCUUAACUCCGAAACUGCAUUCGAUACUGCCGUGCUUGAGGACUGGAGAGGAGACUGGAAUUUACGGUGUAGCGGUGAAAUGCGUAGAUAUCGGAAGGAACACCAGUGGCGAAGGCGACUACCUGGCCUGUUCUUGACGCUGAGGCGCGAAAGCUAGGGGAGCAAACGGG